AACGAACGCUGGCGGCAUGCCUAACACAUGCAAGUCGAACGAGACCUUCGGGUCUAGUGGCGCACGGGUGCGUAACGCGUGGGAACCUGCCCUUAGGUUCGGAAUAACUCCCCGAAAGGGGUGCUAAUAUCGGAUAAUGUCUUCGGACCAAAGAUUUAUCGCCUUUGGAUGGGCCCGCGUUGGAUUAGCUAGUUGGUAGGGUAAAAGCCUACCAAGGCGACGAUCCAUAGCUGGUCUGAGAGGAUGAUCAGCCACACUGGGACUGAGACACGGCCCAGACUCCUACGGGAGGCAGCAGUGGGGAAUAUUGGACAAUGGGCGAAAGACUGAUCCAGCAAUGCCGCGUGAGUGAUGAAGGCCUUAGGGUUGUAAAGCUCUUUUACCCGGGAUGAUAAUGACAGUACCGGGAGAAUAAGCGCCGGCUAACUCCGUG
rnacentral:rRNA from 1 species